GGAGUGGGUAUUGUACCGCGUGUAGGGGGAGAAUUCCUACGGGUGGGUUUCCGAAUAUUGUGUUCAACUUUUUGAAAGCAGCUCGUGACCCCGAAACUGCAUCCCCCGGAGCCGUGGACCCCGGCGCCGGGCGGGCGGGUGAACCCAGUCAGUCCCCUCCCCAUCCCCGCAACCCCCGCCUCCGGGUGGGGGCGACCUGGCCUCUCCCAGCCGCCGCCGGGCCAGCCCCGGAGGGAGGCUGCGCAGGUGCUGCGGGCUCUGCCGAAAGCGCUGAAAUAAAAAACCAUCGCCACUCAGGGAGAACUGAGGCAAGUGGGGCUGAGACUCUGGCGACACCCCCGCCUUCCAGCCUCUGCCCCAGCGUCAGCCGCCCUGCUGCACCCUGCCUGUUCGGGUGGCGGCCGCGGCUCCGGAGCGCGAAGUAGGGCACAGAGCUGCGGCGAGGCGUGCUGCUUUGUGCACCGGGACCCGGUGGGGCGGGUGGCAGCCCCCAGCUGUCCAAGCCUCCCAGCAGAGCCGAGCUCGGCGCCGCACACCGAGCCCACCUCGCAGUCCAGCCGUCGCUAGCGCCUCUCGGCUCUGGACUGAAGCUCUACUCCCACCGCCUGGAGCCGGGAAAGCCAACCGGUCUGCAGGCCUCCGGGAGAGGAGGAUCCGAAGGGCUGGGCCAGCUGCACCUACUUGGCCUCGCUCGGCUCUAAACGGCAGACCCAGGAGGCCUGGGGAUGGUUUGCAAUGUGGGGGCAACGCCCCUUCCGGCUCCCAGGACGUCCGGAGGCGGGGGCUGGCCGGGUGGCCCACAGUCUGGGCCUCCCCACAAGCUGCAAACUGAGGCACUCGGCGCGGGCGGCCGGGGAGGGCUCAGGGGAGCGCAGCACGCAGGCGGGGAGGCAGCGAAACCCUUCAAGGACCCCGAUUACUUUCCUUUGAAAAACAACAACAACAACUGCUCUCUCCCCGCACCCCCGCCCCCCGCCUUAGCCUCGGGGGACUGGCGCUCCAAGCAAUUGUCGCCCUGGACAGUAAACACAGCUCAGUUGCCUCAACUUUCUCCCUGCAUAAAAGUUCCUGGCGUGCGGGGAAAUUUGAAUAUUUGAUCAGCCCCUUUGAGUGACCCUCAUUAGUCCGGCGCCCUGCUAAGGUCGGGCAUUGCAAGAAAGCUGCUGGGCCCGGCAUUUGUACGCCUUGUUAGCGCAGCUUAAUGAAGCCGCCCGGACGGCUCAAAGACGGCCUCGGGGCCAGUGGCGCGCACCUCUCGGCACCCUGCUCUGCCUAAUGAGCCCCGCCGCCCGCUAAAGGCCCCUCCACCCCCCACAUUCUCAAACAAGUGAAGUUUGGCUUCGUCUUGAACCACAGCACCUCCCACUGCCAGGCCCAAGAGGGUGGGCACACACCCAGCCUAGUUGCCUGCGGUGACCCAGCCCCAAGAGAGGGGCUGAAGACUUGGGAGAUGUGAGCCAGACUGGUGGGGGGGUGGGGAUGGCAGUGGAGGGAGAGGCUAUUGCUGCCUCAGGAUCCAGCCCAGGGAGUGCACUGCCAACUUCUCCCAAGAGGACCAAUUGCAAAUCAAUUAGUUACUCCAGUUCCUUAAAGGUGAAUCUGGACUAAUGUUGAGGUGCUUGAGGAUCAGCCUUCCAUCCUCCUGCCACCUCAAGUUCCCUUGGUUUCCUCUGCCCAGAGGCCACACGCUGUUUCCCAAGGAUCCCCUUCUGAACAGCCAGACCUGGUGUACCAGGACUUGGAUUUGAGAAAGGGUGGGCAGCUCCCCUCCCUAACCCAUCAUUGCCUCCACCAUCCACAGAGCCCAGGCACAGGUUAUAACAGGUGGCAGUAGGGAAGACAGGGACCACAGCCUGUCCUGCAUUCCCCCUCAGCAGAGGGAUCCCUUCUCUGGCUUCUAGUCCCUGGGAGGCCUGAAGAAAGUGCUUUAGGAAGGACCACCCUGCAAGACUGGCCUGGCAGCCUGGCAGAGAGGCAGAGAGCCAGAGUUCUGGAAGGAAGGGAAACCGAAGCAGUCAUCUACUUCGCCUUUUCUUAGUGGGGCAGCUGACAUGGCUGGCCAGUAAAUGUAAGACACCCUCUUAGAAACUGUGCUUGAGUUCUCAGGAGGACUUCCCUUUCUGUCUCUCCUCUCCUCUGAUGCCCUUUUCCCUGGACAGUUGGAGCUCAAGGUCCCUCACUCCCUCCUUGCUUACCCAGCUCUUGGGCCCUUAAGGGUUACUUUUGGGGGGAAUUGAUGCUAUGGGCUUGGGAAGCAGGCUGCUGCCAGAUCCACACUCAGGACUUUCUGGACCCCACCCCCACCCCCAACACACACGCCCAGAAUCCCUGAGACACACAGUGGGCCUAGUCAGGUUGGUAACCUCAGGACCCCAUUCCAGGGUAAGCAUCUCCCGGAGGUCGUGGGAAGGAGCCAAAAGGCCAGGUUGGCCCUGGGAUCGAGAGAGCCCUCCAAGUCCAUCUGGUUUGCUUCUCUUCCUUUCUCUCUCCCCAGCUCCACUAGCGUGCCCUGCCCCAUUUCCCAUCCCAUAACCCCUAACUCAACCCGAAACUGGCAAUCUUCAGGCAUCACCUCUGAGCUGGGCAAAGGCGGUGCCCGGGCCUUGAUCCACCUAGAGGGCUAAAGUAAAGACAGGGAAGGGAGGGGUGGGCACUGCUGGUGAGAAAGGGGACCUGAGGCGAGGGUAGAACUCAGCCCUGUGGCCUCGAGGCCAGGCCCACCGGCUGCUCAGGGGAGGAGGCGAAGGGAGGGGGCUCGGAGUCCGCAGGCAACGGUCGGGGCAGCAGGGACCUCAGGCGUCGGUGUGGGGGGCUAGAUCGGGAGGAGAGGGGAGGGGAGGCGGGGGUCGGGGGAUCGCGCAGGGCGGAGGAGGGGUGCGGCUCUUUAAGAACCACACGGCUGGCGGGAGAGGCGCGCGGCCCGGUGCUGGUAGAACACUGACCCCAAAGGGGAUUUAGAGGGAAGAGAGUGGCCGGGCUCUGGGGUUUUGUCCGAGGGGGCCGGGAGAGGCCGAGACACAAGAAUAAGGAGCGGCCGCGGCAUGAAAGGCUGCGAGAAGCGGCAGCGCUGCUGCUCUUGACUUCUGAGCAGGGCUUAGGGAGCCUGCCCCGGCUUAAGCCGACAUGCUGGUGCUGGGCCCUGAGCGCCGAGUCCGCGAGCUCUGAGUCCCGAGUCCCGUGGAGGCGUGGGAUGAGGGGGGCAUCGGGGAACAGGGCAAAGUCUGUCUUGGCUGUACAGCCGCCUGAUCCGAGCGCGGAGCUGCGAGCCUGACCGGCCGCGUCUGGCAUGAUCAGAGAAAGAAUUUUCUUUUGCCAACUUUGGCUUUUGGUUUUGUGUGUCCACCUUGCGCAACUCCGGAGCCUGCGGACCCCAAAGGGAUUCUCAACAGGUGGCCGGUAAGUCCUUUUAAAGAAUUCUGUUUAUAUGGUCAGCCCCUCCCCGACCUUUUCCUUUUUCUCCUCCCUCUUUCCCCUUCUGCUGGCCCGGAUUCCCCUUGCUCCUCCCGCAUGCGACGCCUGAGGUGGCGGUAAGGGAAGAGGCGCCCUUCCCCUGGGGGUCUUUGGGUUCGGGGUUGCAGCCCAGGAGGCCUGGCAGGCGGCCCCCAAGGAGUUACACCCAGUACCUCCAAGUCUCGAUCACUCUUAGCUCUUUGGUCUGGGCCCUGGCGUCCUGAGAGGCGGAGGGAGAAAGAAGGCGCCGCAGCACCUCAAAAGCCGAAGUCCCCAGGAAGGGGGAUGUGGGACCCGGUGGCCGGGCAGUCUUUGUGUGGGGGUUUACGGCGGAAACAGAACUAUUCAUCUUUUAUGAGAGGCCCGGGAUGCGGCCCGGGGGAGCCCGCGCCAGCCGUACAAUAGCCGGCAAGAGAGCGCCUUAGCAGCCGGGGCAGGAGUGGGGUAGGGUGGGGUAAAUCGGGGUGGGGGAGGGGAGGGCGAGAGAAGGGGGAGGGGAAACAGAAAGGCAAAGGGGAGAAAUCCAGGGCGUCCGAGUGAAAAGUCGGGAAAUGUUCCCAGAGAACGCCAGAAACGCGCGCGCGCUUGCGGGCGCAUAGUCUCUCUGUCUCUUUUCACACACAGACACACACACACACACACACACACUCUCUCUCUCUCUCUCUCUCUCUCUCACAUGCUCACACUCAUUCCACACAGGGAGCCCACGCACGCGGUUCCUAGUCGUGCAGGGUCGCAUGCCCGGGCAUCCAAAGUGCAUGCAGAGUAAAGCCGCCCUCCCUCCUCCGAAAGCCCUCCCGCCCAGCCAUGGGCUCCCCGAUUGGGGAGCUAGGAGGGUCCCCGGGGCUGGGGCAAGGGGAGGAUCUUACCUGCGGAAAGGUAAGGGAAGCCGGGAGCACGAAGCAGCGGCGGAUAAAUAUUCAUUAGUAUGUCUCUCCUUUUAAGCCGCGCGGUGCGCUCUCUGGCUCCUAUCUCUCUUUCCCUCCCUCCCUCUGUCCUCUAGUGAGGCUCUCUCCCCCUCUCGCUCUGUCUGCCCCCCUCCCCCUUCCUGCGAACUGCCGGGUGGAUCCCAGUAUAGCUAACCUGUUGGGAAGCCUGAGCCGCGGGCAGCGCCUCCACAGCUGUUUGCUUUCGCUCUUGGGGCGCGCGUUUCCCCAUCCUCUCCCCUCUCUCCUUUUGCCCAGCCCCUCUCCCCCUCCUAAAUUACUACAUCAUUAGCUUUAUUUGGCGGGAGUGGGGGGGGGGAAGAACAGCGCAGCCAAACGCACCUCCCUAUAGCAGGGUGAAAAGCCGCUGCUCUCCGAGGCAGCUCCAAUUCCAUCCUUACCCCAGCCUCACCCAUCUCCUUGUCCCUAGCCAGUUUUGUUUCUUUUUCUUCUCUUUCCAUCUUCACUUCCGUCCUGUACCGACCCAACUCCCUCACCAUUCCGCCCUCCCCCGUCACUACCAAUACGGAUUCCAGACGGGGUCGGCAGGGAGAUGCCAAGUGGGUAGGUCCAAUAUGCCAAGGUCGGGACUCCACCCUGCCAUGGAUGUGGGAGUAGCUCUCCAGGUCCCUCUUUCCUACGUAGGUUUUUCAGCCUGACCCUUAGUGGACAUCGGGGCAGCUUGGGCCUUAGAAUCAGAGCACCAGGGCGCACAGCCAGGGCCUCAGCCCUCCAGGCCUCAGGGACCUGAGGACACAACCACCGACCGUCGUACUGACUUUCUCCCUUUCCAAACAAACUGAUCUGAGGUUAGCAGCAAGUUCGCAUCAUUCUCACGAGAAAACACAUCUACAAGAUUCUAGGAAUGCACAAGGAACCGCUUCCAGUCGCACGCGAACACGUGUACACACACCACAAGCCUCACCCCCACAGACCCGUUCCCGCUGGCCUCUGAAACAGGUAGGCGCGCGGGACCGAAAGGCUAAUUCUGAGCUGAGGAAUACAUCGCAAAACCACCCCAGGAAAUUCCUGGCCACUCUUGUUGGCCCCCAUUCUUCCAGGUUUAGGCCCCUAGGAUGCCCCAGGGACCCUGAAGGAUGACGAGGCCCCAGGGUGCUUGGGGGUGGUCCGGGACGCGAGCUCGGGCGGCCAGCUGAGCGCUGCGUGUUGCGGUAGGGGCUGGAGGAGGGGCCAAGGGAGGCGGGCCCAGGCCAAUUCCAAGUUACAGCUGCUCCUGGGAGGCCAAGGAGAGUUUUGCCCCAAAACGUGUAUACCACUCGCCCCGAGACGCCACGACCUCCCCCAGACAGAGCCCCAGGGCUCAUUCAACCUCGAGGUGGCUUGGGUGAUGGGUGCAGUCGAGAGCCAGGAGGCGACUUCGAGACCACCGACCGCCCAUUCAGCCCAGCCCAGCCACGGUUCACCAGGAGAGGUCCUAGAGGAUGGUCCUAUCUUUCCCAAAGAAUGACGGGGCGCAGGAUCGCUCCUUGUCCCGAAAGGUUAAGAAAUUGGGCUGAUGAAGGUAUUUAAAAGAGGUCUAGAGCGCCCUGGGGCCGAAAGCCGUGUCAACCUCACACUCCACCCAAAGUCCCGCGUUUGCACGUGCACACCUCCUCCUCCUCCUCCCCAUGUAGACCCAGGGGGUCGCGCACAUAUGAGCUCAGACUCAAGCUGAGUCACCUGACUAUGCAUGGAACAUACAGGCAAUCGUACUCGAAUACAUACGGGAGAAUUAAAGGAACACUAACAGAAGAAUUUGAGGAAUAAAGAAGUGUCCACGGGCAUAAUUAUUUGAACGCACGGGUGCACAUUCAGUUGUCCAGACGCAGACAAAAGUCACAGUGCCCGCGAGGAGUGACCCCAACCACAUGGGCAGAUAGAUAGGAAGCCGCGACCGGGGAGAGCCGGUCCAAUGAGGACGCCGGCCGGCCGCAAGGCCAAGGGGGCUUCCUGCUAGAGGGACGUUGGCUCGGAGGGAGAAACUUUGUUGAGCCGACUGGGUGAAUGAAAGGUUUCAGGUCAAGUCUUGGCCACUAGAAAGAAGCAAGGCCUCAUCCACCCAGAGGCAACCUUUUUGCCUUCCUCUCAGCUCUGUUGGAGAUACCCAGAAAAGGGCCAUCCGGGAAUGAUUCAUUUUGACCGAGAUUGUUUUUAUUGUUUACUUCUUAAGAUUUUUUACUUAGAGGAUUGCAUUCUUAAGGAGGAUUUGGGUGGAGUGCAUACAAGUUCUCACUCACUACUGGGAGAUUCAUAAUUCUUUAUGGGAACAUUUAGCUCUAACCGUGGCCUGAGAAGGUGGAGGGCCCUUAUUUUGCCCCUUGCACCCUUCUUAUCCUAAACUUGAUCAUUCAAAAGGAUGCUCGCCCUCCUGCCCCCAUCUUCAUCCCAAUAUCCUGUAUAUCAAAUACGUUUACAAAAGAACACACUUCAAAGUAAACCAAAUUACAUAGUUUAUUUAAAAACAUUUUGUGUGUGUGAUAUAUGGGGAAGUUCUCACCCCCGGUUGCGCUGUCUGUGGCUGAGCACGUUUUCACAGUGGAGCUGGAGGGUUGCAGAGAGGGGUUUCCAGAGGGGCUCUUGGGCGAGUCCUGGGAAACUACUCUAGGCAGGCUUGAUUUUAGCGUGAGCUCCCCCUGCCUAACCAGUUCUAGUGGCUACCUACAGGAUUCCUGUAGAAGAGGCACCCCUGGAGCAGGGGUGCCCUCCCUUCCACUUCACCUCCCUUCCCAACUUUCUCUCUUUUGAGCACAUGUUCUGAGCCUCCCUCUCUCGUCUAAAGUGGAGUGUAAGUCCGAGAAGAUUCAUCUAGACAAAGGAGGAGGAAAAAAGAACUUUCUGGGCCAGCAAGUCGGAUGACCACCCUCCAAGGGGCAGAGGAGGGUCCAUUUUGUGAAGAAGAAAUGAACCACCCGGAAAACGCCACAGGAGGACAUGUUUCUGCAGAUGUAGUUGCCCUAGAAACAGAAGACUAUCGGGGUGCGAGUUGGGAAGAAUUUCUUCUCUUUUGGGGGCAAACACUAGGUCCUUUUCUUUUUUAGAUACAGUUAAUUCCUGGAAAUUUUAGCGAGUUUGUUCUUGUGGACGUUUUGAACAAUAAAGGGUGAAAAUCA